UUGGCAGCCCUGGGACAUAGUUUAUCCACAGAACAGGUGCAGUAAAGGCAGGAUAAGCUUCCUCCACAUACUGCCCUGCCAAUGUGCUUCCAUCCUGGCUUAGUUUCUGGUCAAAGAGGGCAAUUACUUCACCAUGAGUUGGUGACG
rnacentral:sRNA from 1 species